AGUUUGAUCCUGGCUCAGGACGAACGCUGGCGGCGUGCCUAACACAUGCAAGUCGAGCGAGGAACUUCGGUUCCUAGCGGCGGACGGGUGAGUAACACGUGGGUAACCUGCCUCAUAGAGGGGGAUAGCCUCCCGAAAGGGAGAUUAAUACCGCAUAAUAAGUAGCUAUCGCAUGAUGGCAACUUUAAAGGAGCAAUCCGCUAUGAGAUGGACCCGCGGCGCAUUAGCUAGUUGGUGAGGUAACGGCUCACCAAGGCCACGAUGCGUAGCCGACCUGAGAGGGUGAUCGGCCACAUUGGAACUGAGACACGGUCCAGACUCCUACGGGAGGCAGCAGUGGGGAAUAUUGCACAAUGGGCGAAAGCCUGAUGCAGCAACGCCGCGUGGAGGAUGAAGGCCUUCGGGUUGUAAACUCUUGUCUUCUGGGACGAUAAUGACGGUACCAGAGGAGGAAGCCACGGCUAACUACGUGCCAGCAGCCGCGGUAAUACGUAGGUGGCGAGCGUUGUCCGGAUUUACUGGGCGUAAAGGAUGCGUAGGCGGAUAUUUAAGUGGGAUGUGAAAUACCCGGGCUUAACCUGGGUGCUGCAUUCCAAAC
rnacentral:rRNA from 1 species